AUACGGAGGGGGCAAGCGUUGUUCGGAAUUACUGGGCGUAAAGAGUACGUAGGCGGAUCCUUAAGUUAGAGGUGAAAUCCCAGGGCUCAACCCUGGAACUGCCUUUAAUACUGGCGAUCUAGAGAUCGAGAGAGGUGAGUGGAAUUUCCAGUGUAGAGGUGAAAUUCGUAGAUAUUGGAAAGAACACCAGUGGCGAAGGCGGCUCACUGGCUCGAUACUGACGCUGAGGUACGAAAGCGUGGGGAGCAAACAGGAUUAGAAACCCUAGUAGUCC
rnacentral:rRNA from 1 species